rnacentral:rRNA from 1 species
AAUAGAUACCCAAGUAGUCCACGCCGUAAACGGUGGGCGCUAGAUGUGGGGGCUCUUUCCAUGAGUUCCGCGUCGCAGCUAACGCAUUAAGUGCCCCGCCUGGGGAGUACGGCCGCAAGGCUAAAACUCAAAGGAAUUGACGGGGGCCCGCACAAGCGGCGGAGCAUGCGGAUUAAUUCGAUGCAACGCGAAGAACCUUACCAAGGCUUGACAUAUACGGUCUAUCCCUAGAGAUAGGGAGUGCUUCGGCGCCGUAUACAGGUGGUGCAUGGUUGUCGUCAGCUCGUGUCGUGAGGUGUUGGGUUAAGUCCCGCAACGAGCGCAACCCUCGUUCUAUGUUGCCAGCACGUAAUGGUGGGGACUCAUAGGAGACUGCCGGGGUCAACUCGGAGGAAGGUGGGGGUGACGUCAAAUCAUCAUGCCCCUUAUGUCUUGGGCUUCACGCAUGCGUACAAUGGCCGGUACAAAGGACUGCAAUACCGUAAGGUGGAGCGAAUCCCAAAAACGCCGGUCUCAGUUCGGAUUGAGGU